rnacentral:rRNA from 1 species
GAUGAACGCUGGCGGCGUGCCUAAUACAUGCAAGUCGAGCGAACAGACGAGGAGCUUGCUCCUCUGACGUUAGCGGCGGACGGGUGAGUAACACGUGGAUAACCUACCUAUAAGACUGGGAUAACUUCGGGAAACCGGAGCUAAUACCGGAUAAUAUAUUGAACCGCAUGGUUCAAUAGUGAAAGACGGUUUUGCUGUCACUUAUAGAUGGAUCCGCGCCGCAUUAGCUAGUUGGUAAGGUAACGGCUUACCAAGGCGACGAUGCGUAGCCGACCUGAGAGGGUGAUCGGCCACACUGGAACUGAGACACGGUCCAGACUCCUACGGGAGGCAGCAGUAGGGAAUCUUCCGCAAUGGGCGAAAGCCUGACGGAGCAACGCCGUGUGAGUGAUGAAGGUCUCCGGAUCGUAAAACUCUGUUAUUAGGGAAGAACAAAUGUGUAAGUAACUAUGCACGUCUUGACGGUACCUAAUCAGAAAGCCACGGCUAACUACGUG